GAUGAACGCUGGCGGCGUGCCUAAUACAUGCAAGUCGAGCGAACAGACGAGGAGCUUGCUCCUUCGAAGUUAGCGGCGGACGGGUGAGUAACAGGUAGGUAACCUACCUAUAAGACUGGGAUAACUUCGGGAAACCGGAGCUAAUACAGGAUAAGAUUUCGAACCGCAUGGUUCGAUAGUGAAAGAUGGCUUUGCUAUCACUUAUAGAGGGACCUGCGCCGGAUUAGCUAGUUGGUAAGGUAACGGCUUACCAAGGCAACGAUGCGUAGCCGACCUGAGAGGGUGAUCGGCCACACUGGAACUGAGACACGGUCCAGACUCCUACGGGAGGCAGCAGUAGGGAAUCUUCCGCAAUGGGCGAAAGCCUGACGGAGCAACGCCGCGUGAGUGAUGAAGGUCUUCGGAUCGUAAAACUCUUUUAUUAGGGAAGAACAAACGUGUAAGUAACUGUGCACGUCUUGACGGUACCUAAUCAGAAAGCCACGGCUAACUACGUG
rnacentral:rRNA from 1 species